rnacentral:lncRNA from 1 species
ACCUUCGUCUUCAUGGAACUCUGUUGUUCAACAAAAGUAUUGCCAUGAGUACAUUAUGUACUCAACAUGCCUCCCAUGGGGAAGGACCUAAUAGCUAAAUGUGGCUUCAAAGGAAGGUUGUAUGGAUCAUUUGCAUAAAAGCUAAUUUUGUUUGAAAUAAUUUAGCAUUUGAAUAAAAGAAGUUUUUGAUGAAAACAUGUUUUAUCUCCAGAAUAACUUUCAUCAAAUGAGGAUCCUCGACCAACUCACGUCCUUCAUAGGUUUCAAGAAUAGGGGCAAAGAGGGAAUAAGCAAGACAGGUCCCGUACGUCAAGAAAGAUUCAUGUGUUGUCCAUGACCGUGGACACGGCUAUUCGAAUAGUUUUACACUCUACAGAGGUUGUACACUUUACCCACACGACACAAUCCCGACUUGUUGCCACUAGCCGUCGCUAGCAUAGUACACCAUUUGGUAUACCGGCAGGGAGAUUGUGACGAGGUCUUUCAUUAGACCAAACUUACUGUGCCAAGCCCACUAGGUUUCAACACGGAAGUAACCGCAAUUCACAGUCCGGGCCCCCCUUUUGUGCCGAGGAUACUCCUCGCAAGGCAGCUAUCCCAUCUGUGGUACAACGAUGACAACAAUAAGAGUGAACUAACUAAUUAACCAAGCCAGUUCCCAUUAAACCCGGGCAUGGGCAGCCCGGCCCGACGACCCGGCCCGAAAAACCCGGGCCGGGCCGGGCCGGGCUUGACAUUCGGGCCGGGCUCGGGCUUUGUUUUGCAGCCCGAAAAAUAGUUCGGGCCAGGCUCGGGCUUCACUUUUCCUGUAUUUCGGGCCGGGCUUUCGGGCUUCGGGCCGGGCUUGCACGUGCGCGUACUAGAAAAUAGCAUUCGGGCCGGGCUUUCGGGCUUCGGGCUUGACUUCGGGCCGGGCUCGGGCUUGAAAAUAUGGAGUAUUUCGGGCUUUGGGCCGGGCUCAGGCUUGAGAAAUGAAGGUCGGGCUUUUACAAGCCCGGCCCGAAACCCGGCCCGGCCCGACGUUUGCCCAGGUUUAGUUCCCAUAUAGCAUGUGGUUGUACUGUUAUCACAAUCUUCAAAUCCAAGACUUAUUAGGCCUCAUGCGGCACGGACGACUGAUUGCCCCCUUCAACACGUGAAGGGCGGCCAAUCGCUCCUUCAAUCCUUGAUUCAGCUGUCGCCCGCACCAGUAUUCAGAUGGUAAGUUUCACCCAGAGUAGAAGAGAGUAGAGGAUCAACAAGGGCCAACUGGCCUAGCUCAGCGAUACGUUUCAACUGUCAACGACUCGGAGGUCAUUCAACAAAGCACCUAUAUGAUAAGCAUGGCUAACCAUUUCUACUCUACGGGAAUACUAUAAUUCUACUCAGGUGUCAAAUGAAUAGGCGACAAGAGGAGCAAGGUAAUGUGUCAAUAGACAGCCUAGCUACAAAAAUUAAAAAUAGCAUGCAUAUAGUAACCAUAAAACACAAUGCAAUUUUGUAAACAUAGGAUAAAUAUGAUCAAAGAAGGAUGCAUGCCUUCGUUGUUGAGUCCUUCUUCGGUAACCUGAUUUUGUCCUUAUCCAACAUUGUCGUCACUCCCUACUCGUCGUAACGAUAGCAAAUGGCAAACAAAUAAAUACCAAAACAAAAGUAAAUCCAAAACAUCUAAAACAAAUAAAGAGAGGAUGGAUAACAAGAUAUUGAUCGAGAUGGAGAUUCACGAUAGGGAGGUAAGUAGAGAGGAAUCAGCGAAGUGACAAGGUUUAGGAUGACACAACUAUGGAAGGCUUGGCGAUCAAUACUAACGCUCUAGUAUGAACUGUGCUACUAACCAUUAGUAGUGCCCACUACACAUCUCGACUAACUCUACAUGAAACAAGUAUAUAACAAACACAAUGGCAUCCACACACAUGAAAUGGAACCAUCCUAUGCAUUUUAACUACACAAUCACAACAUGGCAUGAUAAAGGUAAAAGGUUUAGCACAAAUAAAUACUUAGAUAGAAUCUAAAUAUUUAUAAUGGUCAGCAGUAGCAAACAUAUACAUCAACUAUAUAACAAUUGAAAAGCAAGUGUUCCAUAAGACAAACACACAUUUCAAACCAUACUAGUUAAGCAAUCAAACAUCUUUCAACCACAACUUGAAUUGAGUUGGAUCUAGAUUUGGUCCUAAAGCAAAACUAAAUGAUAUAGAUAAAUAUUACAAACCAAACAUAUGUCAACUAAUAUAAACAAGUUAAACAUCACAUCAAAUAAAUAAGAGUUGUCCUAUACAUGACAUGGUAAUACAUGCUAAUGUAACCACGAACAACCACAAGAAAGAACAUGGCAUGUUUAAGAGUAACAAUUAACCAUAAAUAAAUAUUUAGAUGUUAGUAAAUAAUUAUAAUGGUUAACAUCAAGUAGAACCAAACAUCAACCAUAACAACUAUCAGAACACAUGAUAUAACAAGAGCCAACCAACACUAUGGUGAAAGCUAAUUAAACAACUAAAUAAUAAGACACAUCUCAUACAAGGCAUAUGAGUAGAAAAUCACAAAGAUGUCUUAUAUAAUAAAACAAGCAUCACACUUACAAGUUAUCAUGGAAACAUACUAAAGUAGGACAUGGUCUUACUACUAAACAAUUAGUACUCAAGUAACCACUAGAAAUAAGAUUACCACUUAAUGCUUAAAUAACAAAUCAACUAUGCACCCUAAGCAUAUGAGGAAGAUACAACUCAACUAAUACGAAAGGUAAACUAUCAUAUGCAUCUGAUGACCUAUUGCAACAAGUAUGGAACAUGCACAAUACUAACAUGAGACAAGUGUAAUCUAUAAGAAGCACGAGGACUAAGUACUCAACUAUAUCAUACAGAGCACAAUAAGACAUGAAAAAUCACUAUCAUGACAAGAUGUAUAGGUUAGGCAUACCCCAAAUCAAAGAUUAAGAUAAAUAAGUUAUAAUGCUAAGCAUAGCGACGAUCAUGAUACGAGCCAUGUGCAAUGGUCCCGAUACAAUUCAAAUCAUAACUACAACAUAAGUUGAUGGAUAACGACUAACAUAAAUAUCACACCAUAGUAUCAUGAUAUGUGACAUAUAGGCACAAAGGAGAAUCAUUGUACGCAUAUAAGCAAGUGAACAUCUAUCAUGGCAUCAACAACAUCAAGCAAUGAAAUAGCAUAGCAUGAAUAACAAAGAUGACUUGCGUUACCUAUCUAGUACUCCCUCCGUCCGGGAAAAGUUGUCCACGGCGUAGUUCAUUAUGAUUUUUGCAAAUAAACCCUUAGGAUUUUAAAUCUCCUGCUAAUUACCCCUUUGCUUCUUCCUACUCCAGAGGCCCGCAGCAGGAACAAGCCCAGGGCGCCGUCGGCAGCCACCGUAGAGCCCAGCGCACUGCCGUCCACCUGCGUCGCCAUUGCGCCGCCGCUGCCAAUCCGUGGUGCCCCUGCCCGCCUGCGCCGCCUGCACGAAGGCGAGCUGCACCGCCGCCCACACGGAGGUGACUGCUCCUCCGCGGCGACCAACUGGACGCCCGCCUCCUCCACGGCUGAAGGCACCUCCCUCGUCGCCCUGCUCGCGUCCCUAGCCGGUGCGGCCCGCGCCCUCAUCCUCUGCCCGCUUCCUCGCGCCCGCGGCCGCCGGUGCGGGAUUUGGGCAAGUCGCCGGCCGCCGCUUCCUUCUGCUGCCGCCGCGAUUCCCUCCAGCCUCUGAUGCUGCAGCUGUUGGGCGAAGCCAACGCCCCCAGAUCGAGUCCUCGCCGUCUGAUGCUUCUGCUCCUCCUCGCCAUCUGAUGCUUCUGCUCAUCCUCGCCGUCUGACUUCUCUCCCCGCGUCUGCUGUUGAAAAGGUGAAUUUGUAGUAGAAAUUGAAGUAGAUAUGUGAAGUGGAAAUUUAACUGGGCAGUGCUACACCUUCACAAUAGUGUGCAACAUCCACAUUCGCCUGAAAGGGAGAGGGAAGGUUAAAAAGUUCAGGUUCUGUUAACUGAACAUGUUCAGGUUCAGGUUCUGUUAACUGAAAAAGUUUAGAUUCAGAAACAUUGUUGGACUGAUAGGAAGUUUGUUGAACAGAGCAAUCUAUACCUGUAAUUUGUACUGUUAUGCCUCUGUUACUCCAGUCAAAAUUUUCCUGUGAAAAUUUUCAGUCAAGCACAACUGAUCAUGUAACUUGAGAAGAUUACUCCAGAUUUUGGAAAUAAUCAAUUACUCCAGAUUCUGUCCCUCCUUUGGAAUGUGAAGUCCACUGGAAAUGAGCACAAGUCAGGUCCGUCAAACUAAGAUUAGUCAAAAGCAACAGAAGAGCACUAACCAACCAAAGUUCCACUAGAAUUAGGCCACUAGAGAGGAAAUAAACAAGUGUGCACCAUU